AGGGACCCUAUAGAGCCCCUAUAGGUGCUUUACAGCCCCCUAUAAAGACCCUAUAGAGCCCCUAUAAGCAUCUUCUAACUCCUAUAGGAAACCUAUAGAGCCCCCUAUAGAGACCUGAUAGCCCCAUAGAGACCCUAUAGGGACUUAUAGAGACCCUAUAGAGCCCUUACAACCCUCAUAGGCACCCUAUAGGUGCCUUAAACUCCCAUAGGGACCCUAUAGAGCUCCAUAGAGCUCCCUAUAGGGACCUUAUAGUUCCCACAGACACCCUAUAUAGCCCCUAUAGGUACCUUAUAGCCCCCAUAGGGACCCUAUAGACACCCUAUAGGUGCCUUAUAACUCCCAUAGGGACCCUAUAGAGCUCCCUAUAGGGACGUUAUAGUCCCCACAGACACCCUAUAGAGCCCCUAUAGGUAUCUUAUAACCCCUAUAGGGACCCUAUAGACACUCUAUAGAGCCCCAUGGGGGCCCUAUAGAGACCCUAUAGGUGCCUUAUAACCCCCAUAAAGACCCUAUAGAGCCCCAUAGGGACCCUAUAGAGCUCCCUAUAGUGACCUUAUAGUCCCCACAGACACCCUAUAGAGCCCCUAUAGGUACCUUAUAACCCCCAUAGGGACCCUAUAGACACCCUAUAGAGCCCCAUGGGGACCCUAUAGGUGCCUUAUAACCCCUAUAGGGACCGUAUAGACACCCUAUAGAGCCCCAUGGGGACCCUAUAGAGACCCUGUAGGUGCCUUAUAACCCCUUAAAGGCCCAUAGGGACCCUAUAGAGCCCUUGUAACCCCCAUAGACGCCCUAUAGAGACCCUAUAGGUGUCUUAUAAUGACCCUAUAGAACCUUAUAAUGCCUAUAGGAACUCUAUAGAGCCCUUAUACCCCCAUAGAGACCCUAUAGAGCCCCAUAUGGACCCUAUAGAGGCCCUAUAGGUGCCUUAUAGCCCCUUAUAGAGCCCCUAUAGGGACCUUAUAACCCCCAUAAGGACCCUAUAGAAGUCCCCCCUCCCCCAUUUUCCCGCCACUCACCGGCCGCGGUGGGGGCGGGGUCGGAAGGGGCGUGGUCAGUUCCGGAAGUGGCCCCGCCCACCCGGCGGGGCUUGGUGAUGACGGCAUAAGUGACGUCCAUGGGGGAGGGGCCUGGAGGGACCCAGGAGGUCGGGGAGGGACCCAGGAGUUCGGGUCCCCCCCCCCCCCCCCCCCACCCAGGAGGGGAAUCCGGACUCACCUGGUGGGGGAGGGGUCACCCGGACUCCUGGGUCCCCUUCCCGAACUCCUGGGUCCCUCCCGAACGCCUGGGUCCCUCUUUAUGGUCGCCCCCGAACUCCUGGGUCCCUCCCGAACGCCUGGGUCCCUGGUAUCACUUCCCGUUUCCUGGGUAGGAAGUGCCACCCCCUCCCCCACCUCGCCCUAUAUGGUCCCUAUAGCGCCCCCUAUAGAACCCCUGGGGGUCCCUAUGGGCCCCAUAGAGUCCCAUGGGGGGCCCUAUACACCCUAUAGCGCUCCCUAUAGCGCUCUGGAGCGCCCUAUAGCCCUAUAAGGGGCGAGGUCACAUGACCAGGCCAGCGCGGGGGGGGCGGGACUAAAAGCGAUGACGUAAUCGCGCCAGCCCUAGCCCCGCCCCUUUCCCGCGACGUGCUGACGUCAUCGGCGAUGGCGGCGGCGGAGAAAACGCGGCGCUACGAGGAGUUUGUGAAUGACGUGCUGAGGCGCGACCUGCGGCGGCUCCAGGAGCAGCGCGACGCCGUAUUCCAGCAGCACGCGCAGGUGCUGCAGCUUCGGGCCGCCCUCGAGCGCCUCCAG